CUACGGGGCGCUGCAGUGAGGAAUAUUGCACAAUGGGGGGAACCCUGAUGCAGCAACGCCGCGUGGAGGAUGACGCAUUUCGGUGUGUAAACUCCUUUUAUAUGUCAAGAAAAUGACGGUAGCAUAUGAAUAAGCACCGGCUAACUCCGUGCCAGCAGCCGCGGUAAUACGGAGGGUGCAAGCGUUACUCGGAAUCACUGGGCGUAAAGGACGCGUAGGCGGGUUGGAAAGUCAGGUGUGAAAUCCUACAGCCUAACUGUAGAACUGCACUUGAAACUUCUAAUCUAGAGUAUGGGAGGGGAGAUGGAAUUAGUGGUGUAGGGGUAAAAUCCGUAGAUAUCACUAGGAAUACCUAAAGCGAAGGCGAUCUCCUGGAACAUUACUGACGCUAAGGCGUGAAAGCGUGGGGAGCAAACAGGAUUAGAUACCCGCGUAGUC
rnacentral:rRNA from 1 species